rnacentral:rRNA from 1 species
GACGAACGCUGGCGGCGUGCCUAAUACAUGCAAGUAGAACGCUGAAGGAGGAGCUUGCUUCUCUGGAUGAGUUGCGAACGGGUGAGUAACGCGUAGGUAACCUGCCUGGUAGCGGGGGAUAACUAUUGGAAACGAUAGCUAAUACCGCAUAACAGUAGAUAUCGCAUGAUAUCUACUUGAAAGGUGCAAUUGCAUCACUACCAGAUGGACCUGCGUUGUAUUAGCUAGUUGGUGAGGUAACGGCUCACCAAGGCGACGAUACAUAGCCGACCUGAGAGGGUGAUCGGCCCCACUGGGACUGAGACACGGCCCAGACUCCUACGGGAGGCAGCAGUAGGGAAUCUUCGGCAAUGGACGGAAGUCUGACCGAGCAACGCCGCGUGAGUGAAGAAGGUUUUCGGAUCGUAAAGCUCUGUUGUAAGAGAAGAACGAGUGUGAGAGUGGAAAGUUCACACUGUGACGGUAUCUUACCAGAAAGGGACGGCUAACUACGUG